rnacentral:rRNA from 1 species
UGGGGAAUAUUGCGCAAUGGGGGAAACCCUGACGCAGCAAUGCCGCGUGAGUGAGGAAGGCCCUCGGGUUGUAAAGCUCUGUCAGAUAGGAAGAACUGCCAUUGGUCCAAUAGGCCUUUGGUUUGACGGUACUAUCAAAGGAAGCACCGGCUAACUUCGUG